rnacentral:rRNA from 1 species
UACAGAGGGUGCAAGCGUUAAUCGGAAUUACUGGGCGUAAAGCGUGCGUAGACGGUUACAUAAGUCGGGUGUGAAAGCCCCGGGCUCAACCUGGGAAUUGCAUUCGAGACUGCGUAGCUAGGGUGCGGAAGAGGGAAGCGGAAUUUCCGGUGUAGCGGUGAAAUGCGUAGAUAUCCGGAGGAACACCGGUGGCGAAGGCGGCUUCCUGGACCGACACUGACGCUGAGGCGCGAAAGCUAGGGGAGCAAACGGG